UGGGGAAUUUUGGACAAUGGGCGAAAGCCUGAUCCAGCAAUGCCGCGUGUGUGAAGAAGGCCUUCGGGUUGUAAAGCACUUUUGUCCGGAAAGAAAUCCUUGGCUCUAAUACAGUCGGGGGAUGACGGUACCGGAAGAAUAAGCACCGGCUAACUACGUGCCAGCAGCCGCGGUAAUACGUAGGGUGCAAGCGUUAAUCGGAAUUACUGGGCGUAAAGCGUGCGCAGGCGGUUUGCUAAGACCGAUGUGAAAUCCCCGGGCUCAACUGGGAACUGCAUUGGUGACUGGCAGGCUAGAGUAUGGCAGAGGGGGGUAGAAUUCCACGUGUGAGCAGUGAAAUGCGUAGAGAUGUGGAGGAAUACCGAUGGCGAAGGCAGCCCCUGGGCCAAUACUGACGCUCAUGCACGAAAGCGUGGGGAGCAAACAGGAUUCAGAUACCCUGGUAGUCCACGCCCU
rnacentral:rRNA from 1 species